rnacentral:misc_RNA from 1 species
UCUGGCAGGGACCGUCCAAUUUCGUUGAGCUUUGUUGCAACGCGUUGUGCCACCGCGCGGCUGUUCUCGCCAAUCAGCAGCAUGGCCGUCCCGAGCACGACUCCCUUGCCGUUGAGCGUUGCCGCGCCGUUGGAGACCAUUCAGAGCGGCUAUACGCAAGGCCGGCUUACCUUGCUAUUUAUGACUGGCCUGGCGNNNNNGGUUUGAUUUCUCCUGAAUAUUAUCUUAGCAGUCGUGGGAACGGAUAAUCGACCCAGUUUC